rnacentral:rRNA from 1 species
GACGAACGCUGGCGGCGUGCCUAAUACAUGCAAGUAGAACGCUGAAGGAGGAGCUUGCUUCUCUGGAUGAGUUGCGAACGGGUGAGUAACGCGUAGGUAACCUGCCUUGUAGCGGGGGAUAACUAUUGGAAACGAUAGCUAAUACCGCAUAAGAGUAGAUGUCGCAUGACAUUUGCUUAAAAGGUGCAAUUGCAUCACUACCAGAUGGACCUGCGUUGUAUUAGCUAGUUGGUGAGGUAACGGCUCACCAAGGCAACGAUACAUAGCCGACCUGAGAGGGUGAUCGGCCACACUGGGACUGAGACACGGCCCAGACUCCUACGGGAGGCAGCAGUAGGGAAUCUUCGGCAAUAGACGGAAGUCUGACCGAGCAACGCCGCGUGAGUGAAGAAGGUUUUCGGAUCGUAAAGCUCUGUUGUAAGAGAAGAACGAGUGUGAGAGUGGAAAGUUCACACUGUGACGGUAUCUUACCAGAAAGGGACGGCUAACUACGUG